CCCACCAGAUCCCACCAGGCCCUAUCAGAUCCCACCAGGUCCCAUCAGGUCCCACCAGGCCCGAUCAGAUCCCACCAGAUCCCACCAGGUGCCAUCAGAUCCCAUCAGGUGUCACCAGGCCUUAUCAGAUCCCAUCAGGUGUCACCGGAUCCCAUCAUCAGAUCCCACCAGGCCCUAUCAGAUCCCACUGGAUCCCUUCAGAUCCCACCAGAUCCCAUUAGGUGCCACCCGGCCCUAUCAGCUCCCAUCAGAUCCCACCAGACCCUAUCAGAUCCCAUCAGAUCCCACCAGGCCCUAUCAGAUCCCACCGGAUCCCUUCAGAUCCCACCAGAUCCCAUUAGGUGCCACCAGGCCCUAUCAGCUCCCAUCAGAUCCCACCAGAUCCCAUCAGUUCCCAUCAGAUCCCACUGGGUGCCACCAGGUCCCACCAGAUCCUAUCAGACCCCACCAGAUCCCACCAGAUCUCACCAGACCCUAUCAGAACCCACCAGAUCCCACCAGGCCCUAUCAACUCCCAUUAGAUCCCACCAGGUGCCACCAGGCCCUAUCAGAUCCCAUCAGAUCCCACCAGGCCCCACCAGAUCCCACCAGGUCCCAUCAGAUCCCAACAGGCCCUGUCAGAUCCCAUUAGGUGUCACCAGGUGCCAUCAGAUCCCAUCAGGUGUCACCAGGCCUUAUCAGAUCCCAUCAGGUGUCACCGGAUCCCAUCAUCAGAUCCCACCAGGCCCUAUCAGAUCCCACUGGAUCCCUUCAGAUCCCACCAGAUCCCAUUAGGUGCCACCCGGCCCUAUCAGCUCCCAUCAGAUCCCACCAGACCCUAUCAGAUCCCAUCAGAUCCCACCAGGCCCUAUCAGAUCCCACCGGAUCCCUUCAGAUCCCACCAGAUCCCAUUAGGUGCCACCAGGCUCUAUCAAUCAGCUCCCAUCAGAUCCCACCAGAUCCCAUCAGUUCCCAUCAGAUCCCACCAGGCCCAGUCAGAUCCCACCAGGGAUCCCAUCAGGUGUCACCAGCCCCUAUCAACUCCCAUCAGAUCCCACCAGAUCCCAUUAGGUGCCACUAGGCCCUAUCAGAUCCCAUCAGAUCCCACCAGAUCCCAUCAGAUCCCACCAGAUCCCA
ensembl:lncRNA